AAGAAUUAGGGUGGGGUAAGAGUGCAGCUAAGUCAGGUCAAGGGGCUGAAAUCAGAACAAAAUAGGACUCAAGAGAAGGAAGCCUGGGAUCAAGCCAGCUGAGAUGACAGCAGCCUUUAUGUCAAAAUUUCUACAUGGAUCUGUACCAUUUGGGCUUUUCUUUGCACUGAUGAAGAAUUCCCUUGCCAUGUUCCUAUAACAAAAGAUACUGACAGCAUAUGAAGACCAAUUAUGUUUAUGGAGAGAAUCCUAUUAGGCAAUACUGAAGGGGGAUAUUGAGAUGGAGUACUGCUACUCUUGUAUGAGCAGAAAUCACCAUGGGAACAGCUCAACUUCCACUUGAAAAAGAAGGCCAUCAAUCUGUACAAGAGGAAGCAAUUUCGCUAUGCUGUUGAAUUUGUGCAGGAGAGCUAGUGUAACAUUUCAGCUUUACAUAGCAACGAAGUUGCUAAAGAACCAAAAAUAUCGAAAGGAAGAAAAAUAAA